rnacentral:rRNA from 1 species
CAGAGGGUGCGAGCGUUGUCCGGAAUCACUGGGCGUAAAGGGCGCGUAGGCGGCCUGAUAAGUCGGGGGUGAAAUCCUGUGGCUUAACCACAGGGCUGCCUCCGAGACUGUCGGGCUCGAGCACAGUAGAGGCAGGUGGAAUUCCCGGUGUAGCGGUGGAAUGCGUAGAGAUCGGGAAGAACAUCGGUGGCGAAGGCGGCCUGCUGGGCUGUUGCUGACGCUGAGGCGCGACAGCGUGGGGAGCAAACAGG